AUUGAACGCUGGCGGCAGGCCUAACACAUGCAAGUCGAGCGAGCGGCGGACGGGUGGGUAAUGUAUGGGCAUCUGCCUGAUGGAGGGGGAUAACUACUGGAAACGGUAGCUAAUACCGCAUACCAUCAGAUGAACCCAUAUGGGUUUAGCUUGUAGGUAAGGUAACGGCUUACCUAGGCGACGAUCCCUAGCUGGUCUGAGAGGAUGAUCAGCCACACUGGGACUGAGACACGGCCCAGACUCCUACGGGAGGCAGCAGUGGGGAAUAUUGCACAAUGGACGCAAGCCUGAUGCAGCCAUGCCGCGUGUAUGAAGAAGGCCUUCGGAGUGUAAAGCACUUUCAGUCGGGAGGCGUUACCGACAGAAGAAGCACCGGCUAACUCCGUGCCAGCAGCCGCGGUAAUUC
rnacentral:rRNA from 1 species